rnacentral:rRNA from 1 species
GAUGAACGCUAGCGGCAGGCUUAAUACAUGCAAGUCGAGGGGCAGCAGCUUUAUAGCAAUAUAGAGGCUGGCGACCGGCAAACGGGUGCGGAACACGUACACAACCUUCCUUUAAGAGGGGGAUAGCCCAUAGAAAUGUGGAUUAAUACCCCGUAACAUAUCGGUGUGGCAUCACACUGUUAUUAUAGUUUCGACGCUUGAAGAUGGGUGUGCGGCUGAUUAGGUAGUUGGCGGGGUAAAGGCCCACCAAGCCUUCGAUCAGUAGCUGAUGUGAGACCAUGAUCAGCCACACGGGCACUGAGACACGGGCCCGACUCCUACGGGAGGCAGCAGUAAGGAAUAUUGGUCAACGGACGCAAGUCUGAACCAGCCAUGCCGCGUGAAGGAUGAAGGUCCUCUGGAUUGUAAACUUCUUUUAUAGGGGGCGAAAAAAGGGAAUUCUUUCUCACUUGACAGUACCCUAUGAAUAAGCACCGGCUAACUCCGUGCCAGCAGCAGCCGCCG